ensembl:lncRNA
GCCUGGUUAGUACUUGGUUGGGAGACUGAAUGGGAAUACUAGGUGCUGUAAGCUUUUUAUUUGGAUCAGUGUUUUCAUGGCCUCUGCACAACAUCCUGUUUUGGGAUAAAGGUUGGACACAGGUUUGAAGGGGACCCAAUCAAUCAAUCAAUCAGUCAGUCAGUCAGUCAGUCAGUCAGUCUUUUGAUUACACUAUUUAAAUAGCCCCCAUUUGGGGUCAGCUUUCGCUUACGGCCAUACCACUCUGAAAAAGCCUGAUCUCAUCUGACCUCGGAAGCAAAGCAGAGUUGGGCCUGGUUAGUACUUGGUUGGGAGACUGAAUGGGAAUACUAGGUGCUGUAAGCUUUUUAUUUGGAUCAGUGUUUUCAUGGCCUCUGCACAACAUCCUGUUUUGGGAUAAAGGUUGGACACAGGUUUGAAGGGGACCCAAUCAAUCAAUCAUCAAUCAAUCAGUCAGUCAGUCAGUCAGUCAGUCAGUCAGUCUUUUGAUUACACUAUUUAAAUAGCCCCCAUUUGGGGUCAGCUUUCGCUUACGGCCAUACCACUCUGAAAAAGCCUGAUCUCAUCUGACCUCGGAAGCAAAGCAGAGUUGGGCCUGGUUAGUACUUGGUUGGGAGACUGAAUGGGAAUACUAGGUGCUGUAAGCUUUUUAUUUGGAUCAGUGUUUUCAUGGCCUCUGCACAACAUCCUGUUUUGGGAUAAAGGUUGGACACAGGUUUGAAGGGGACCCAAUCAAUCAAUCAAUCAAUCAGUCAGUCAGUCAGUCAGUCAGUCAGUCUUUUGAUUACACUAUUUAAAUAGCCCCAUUUGGGGUCAGCUUUCGCUUACGGCCAUACCACUCUGAAAAAGCCUGAUCUCAUCUGACCUCGGAAGCAAAGCAGAGUUGGGCCUGGUUAGUACUUGGUUGGGAGACUGAAUGGGAAUACUAGGUGCUGUAAGCUUUUUAUUUGGAUCAGUGUUUCAUGGCCUCUGC